UACGAAUGUGGCGAGCGUUGUUCGGAAUCACUGGGCGUAAAGAGUACGUAGGCGGUUUAACAAGUCAGGAGUGAAAUCCCCAGGCUCAACCUGGGAACUGCUCUUGAAACUGUUAGACUAGAAGCUCGGAGAGGUUGGCGGAAUUCUCAGUGUAGAGGUGAAAUUCGCAGAUAUUGAGAGGAACACCAGUGGCGUAAGCGGCCAACUGGACGAGUAUUGACGCUGAGGUACGAAAGCGUGGGGAUCAAACAGG
rnacentral:rRNA from 1 species